rnacentral:rRNA from 1 species
AUUGAACGCUGGCGGCAUGCCUUACACAUGCAAGUCGAACGGCAGCACGGGUGCUUGCACCUGGUGGCGAGUGGCGAACGGGUGAGUAAUACAUCGGAACAUGUCCUGUAGUGGGGGAUAGCCCGGCGAAAGCCGGAUUAAUACCGCAUACGAUCUACGGAUGAAAGCGGGGGACCUUCGGGCCUCGCGCUAUAGGGUUGGCCGAUGGCUGAUUAGCUAGUUGGUGGGGUAAAGGCCUACCAAGGCGACGAUCAGUAGAUGGUCUGAGAGGACGACCAGCCACACUGGGACUGAGACACGGCCCAGACUCCGACGGGAGGCAGCAGUGGGGAAUUUUGGACAAUGGGCGAAAGCCUGAUCCAGCAAUGCCGCGUGUGUGAAGAAGGCCUUCGGGUUGUAAAGCACUUUUGUCCGGAAAGAAAUCCUUGGCUCUAAUACAGUCGGGGGAUGACGGUACCGGAAGAAUAAGCACCGGCUAACUACGU